GGAAGUUUGUCUCUGAGAUAGAGCUGAAGCUUUGCUCUGCAGAGUGUCUGGAGCCUAAGUGUAUGCAGAGUGCCCCCCCUCUUGGCUCCUUGAUAAAUAGGGAAAAGGUCCAGUUUGCUCCAGCUGGAAAGUUGAAGUUGUUAAAUCCAUUUAUACUUGUUCUGCGAGGAAAAGGACAAUCUCUAGUCAUAUUGUUUAACUAUGAGAAAUUUAAGAAGAUUAUACAGUGA
rnacentral:lncRNA from 1 species